rnacentral:rRNA from 1 species
UACGUAGGGUGCGAGCGUUGUCCGGAAUUAUUGGGCGUAAAGAGCUCGUAGGCGGUCUGUCGCGUCGGUCGUGAAAACUUGGGGCUUAACCCUGAGCUUGCGGUCGAUACGGGCAUGACUGGAGUUCGGCAGGGGAGACUGGAAUUCCUGGUGUGGCGGUGAAAUGCGCAGAUAUCAGGAGGAACACCGGUGGCGAAGGCGGGUCUCUGGGCCGAUACUGACGCUGAGGAGCGAAAGCGUGGGGAGCGAACAGG